rnacentral:rRNA from 1 species
CGGAGGGGCUAGCGUUGUUCGGAAUUACUGGGCGUAAAGCGUACGUAGGCGGCUUUGUAAGUUAGAGGUGAAAGCCCGGGGCUCAACUCCGGAACUGCCUUUAAGACUGCAUCGCUAGAACGUCGGAGAGGUGAGUGGAAUUCCGAGUGUAGAGGUGAAAUUCGUAGAUAUUCGGAAGAACACCAGUGGCGAAGGCGACUCACUGGACGACUGUUGACGCUGAGGUACGAAAGCGUGGGGAGCAAACAGGAUU